UACGUAGGGGCCUAGCGUUGUCCGGAUUUAUUGGGCGUAAAGAGCUCGUAGGCGGUUUGGUGAGUCGGGUGUGAAAUCUCCACGCUCAACGUGGAGGGGCCACCCGAUACUGCCAUGACUAGAGUCCGGUAGGGGAGUGUGGAAUUCCCGGUGUAGCGGUGAAAUGCGCAGAUAUCGGGAGGAACACCAGUAGCGAAGGCAAUCCCCUGGACCUGUACUGACGCUCAUGCACGAAAGCGUGGGGAGCAAACAGG
rnacentral:rRNA from 1 species